rnacentral:sRNA from 1 species
AGCUUCGUACUUUCUGGUUAGGGUUACAAUUAAGAUAAGUGAGCAACAAUAAAUUAACAAGGCCUACGAAAAUUAAGCACUAAUGUUUCGGUUCCGAAAGGAACACGCUCUUGAGCGAACCACUAGUUCCAAACCGAAAUCAAAGUUCCAGUUAGCGUUGUUUUUUAGUUUCCAACGUCUUGGAUCUGCUGCAAAACGUGGAAGUAUAAAACUCACCUCCA